GCUGUGAUGUGUACAUAGUUUUCAUCUGUGUCUAUGCUUUACCUUCAGAUCUAGCAAUCUGUAUACAUAUCAUGCAGCCAGAGUAGCUUGGGAUCAUAGUACUGGUCUAGUGUCUGCCUUUGGAUACAUCUCCCACUGGCUAGCCUCCAAAUUCCCAUACACAA
ensembl:snoRNA